rnacentral:misc_RNA from 1 species
AAGUCGUAACAAGGUUUCCGUAGGUGAACCUGCGGAAGGAUCAUUACAGAGGUUUAUCCUUAUUUUGUGAACUUAUCAUCUGGUGUGUAUGUUUUUGUGUACGAGUGCGGAGCACGAGUUGAUAUCAAUUGUGAAACUUGAGUCGAACCACCCGUUCAACACCAAACGUAUGCACCAAACUUUACACCAAUUUCUGUCGGAACAAAAGAAAUGAAAAA